rnacentral:rRNA from 1 species
AUGAACGGACCUCUGGUGUACCAGUUGUCCUGCCAAGGGCACCGCUGGUUAGCUACGUCCGGACGGGAUAACCGCUGAAAGCAUCUAAGCGGGAAGCCCACCUCGAGAUGAGCUCUCCCAUCCCCUUCGAGGGAGUAAGAGCCCUGGAAGACCACCAGGUGAUAGGCCGGAUGUGUAAACGCGGUGACGCGCUAAGCAGACCGGUACUAAUGCUUCGAGGGCUUGACGGA